AGAGUUUGAUCCUGGCUCAGAACGAACGCUGGCGGCAGGCUUAACACAUGCAAGUCGAACGCACCGCAAGGUGAGUGGCAGACGGGUGAGUAACGCGUGGGAACCUACCCAAUUCUACGGAACAACUGAGGGAAACUUCAGCUAAUACCGUAUACGCCCUACGGGGGAAAGAUUUAUCGGAGUUGGAUGGGCCCACGUUGGAUUAGCUAGUUGGUGGGGUAAUGGCCUACCAAGGCGACGAUCCAUAGCUGGUCUGAGAGGAUGAUCAGCCACACUGGGACUGAGACACGGCCCAGACUCCUACGGGAGGCAGCUAGUGGGGAAUAUUGGACGAAUGGGCGAAAGCCUGAUCCAAGCCAUGCCGCGUGAGUGAUGAAAGGCCUUAGGGUUGUAAAAGCUUCUUUCAGUGGGGAAGAUAAUGACGUACCCACAGA
rnacentral:rRNA from 1 species